AUGCGAGCUUAAGCCGUUAGGUGUAGGCGAAGCGAAAGCGAGUCUGAAUAGGGCGCAUGAGUUAGAUGGAUCAGACCCGAAACCGAGUGAUCUAGGCAUGGCCAGGUUGAAGACAAGGUAACACUUGUUGGAGGACCGAACCCACAUCCGUUGAAAAGGAUCGGGAUGAGCUGUGCCUAGGGGUGAAAGGCCAAUCAAACUCGGAGAUAGCUGGUUCUCUGCGAAAUCUAUUUAGGUAGAGCGUCGGACGAAUACCCUCGGGGGUAGAGCACUGAAUGGGUAAUGGGGGCCCACAGCCUUACUGAUCCUAAUCAAACUCCGAAUACCGAGGAGUAAUAUCCGGCAGACACACAGCGGAUGCUAACGUCCGUUGUGGAGAGGGAAACAACCCUGACCUACGACUAAGGCCCCUAAUUCAUGGCUAAGUGGGAAAGCAGGUGGGACGACCAAAACAACCAGGAGGUUGGCUUAGAAGCAGCCAUCCUUUAAAGAUAGCGUAACAGCUCACUGGUCUAAAUAAGGGUUCCUGCGGCGAAAAUGUAACGGGGCUAAAGAUAUGCACCGAAGCUUAGGGUUGCAGUUUACUGCAGCGGUAGCGGAGCGUUCCGUAGGCGAGUGAAGGCGAAGGGUAACCGACGCUGGACGUAUCGGAAGUGCGAAUGCUGACAUGAGUAGCGACAAACAGGGUGAGAUACCCUGUCGCCGAAAGACCAAGGGUUCCUACGCAAUGCUAAUCAGCGUAGGGUGAGCCGGCCCCUAAGACGAGCCCGAAGGGGGUAGUCGAUGGGAACCACGUUAAUAUUCGUGGGCCUGGAGAUGUGUGACGGAUCGCGGAAGUUGUGAGUCCUUAUUGGAUUGGACUUGCAGCCAAGUGGUUCCAGGAAAUAGCCUCUCCAUAUAGACCGUACCCGAAACCGACACAGGUGGUCAGGUAGAGUAUACCAAGGCGCUUGAGAGAAGUAUCCUGAAGGAACUCGGCAAAUUGCCUCCGUACCUUCGGAAGAAGGAGGCCCCAUCUUAAGGCAACUUUUGGUGGGGGGCACAGGCCAGGGGGUAGCGACUGUUUAUCAAAAACACAGGACUCUGCUAAGUCGGCUUCAAGACGACGUAUAGGGUCUGACGCCUGCCCGGUGCCUGAAGGUUAAAAGGAGGGGUGAGAGCUCUGAAUUGAAGCCCAGGUAAACGGCGGCCGUAACAAUAACGGUCCUAAGGUAGCGAAAUUCCUUGUCGGGUAAGUUCCGACCUGCACGAAUGGCGUAACGACU
rnacentral:rRNA from 1 species